rnacentral:rRNA from 1 species
UAAGGAGACUGCCGGUGACAAACCGGAAGAAGGUGGGGAUGACGUCAAGUCAUCAUGGCCCUUACGGCCUGGGCUACACACGUGCUACAAUGGUCGGUACAAAGGGUUGCCAAGCCGCGAGGUGGAGCUAAUCCCAUAAAACCGACUACGUAGUCCGGAUCGCAGUCUGCAACUCGACUGCGUGAAGUCGGAAUCGCUAGUAAUCGUGAAUCAGAAUGUCACGGUGAAUACGUUCCCGGGCCUU